CUCGAUGAGUAGGGCGGGACACGUGGUAUCCUGUCUGAAUAUGGGGGGACCAUCCUCCAAGGCUAAAUACUCCUGACUGACCGAUAGUGAACCAGUACCGUGAGGGAAAGGCGAAAAGAACCCCGGCGAGGGGAGUGAAAAAGAACCUGAAACCGUGUACGUACAAGCAGUGGGAGCACAGAGCAAUCUGUGUGACUGCGUACCUUUUGUAUAAUGGGUCAGCGACUUAUAUUCUGUAGCAAGGUUAACCGAAUAGGGGAGCCGAAGGGAAACCGAGUCUUAACCGGGCGUUAAGUUGCAGGGUAUAGACCCGAAACCCGGUGAUCUAGCCAUGGGCAGGUUGAAGGUUGGGUAACACUAACUGGAGGACCGAACCGACUAAUGUUGAAAAAUUAGCGGAUGACUUGUGGCUGGGGGUGAAAGGCCAAUCAAACCGGGAGAUAGCUGGUUCUCCCCGAAAGCUAUUUAGGUAGCGCCUCGUGAAUUCAUCUCCGGGGGUAGAGCACUGUUUCGGCAAGGGGGUCAUCCCGACUUACCAACCCGAUGCAAACUGCGAAUACCGGAGAAUGUUAUCACGGGAGACACACGGCGGGUGCUAACGUCCGUCGUGAAGAGGGAAACAACCCAGACCGCCAGCUAAGGUCCCAAAGUCAUGGUUAAGUGGGAAACGAUGUGGGAAGGCCCAGACAGCCAGGAUGUUGGCUUAGAAGCAGCCAUCAUUUAAAGAAAGCGUAAUAGCUCACUGGUCGAGUCGGCCUGCGCGGAAGAUGUAACGGGGCUAAACCAUGCACCGAAGCUGCGGCAGCGACACUGUGUGUUGUUGGGUAGGGGAGCGU
rnacentral:rRNA from 1 species